rnacentral:rRNA from 1 species
CGCUGGCGGCGUGCCUAACACAUGCAAGUCGAGCGAUGAAGUCUUCGGAACGGAUAGCGGCGGACGGGUGAGCAACACGUGGGUAACCUGCCUUGUAGAGGGGGAUAGCCUUCCGAAAGGAAGAUUAAUACCGCAUAACAUCUUUUUAUCGCAUGGUAGAAAGAUCAAAGGAGCAAUCCGCUACAAGAUGGACCCGCGGCGCAUUAGCUAGUUGGUGAGGUAACGGCUCACCAAGGCGACGAUGCGUAGCCGACCUGAGAGGGUGAUCGGCCACAUUGGAACUGAGACACGGUCCAGACUCCUACGGGAGGCAGCAGUGGGGAAUAUUGCGCAAUGGGGGGAAAAACCCCUGACGCAGCAACGCCGCGUGAAUGAAGAAGGCCUUAGGGUUGUAAAGUUCUGUUUACGGGGACGAUAAUGACGGUACCCGUGGAGGAAGCCACGGCUAACUACGUGCCAGCCGCUGC